UGGGGAAUAUUGCGCAAUGGGCGAAAGCCUGACGCAGCGACGCCGCGUGAGGGAUGAAGGUUUUCGGAUCGUAAACCUCUGUCAGAAGGGAAGAAACCGCACUGUGCUAAUCAGCAGUGCCUUGACGGUACCUUCAAAGGAAGCACCGGCUAACUCCGUGCCAGCAGCCGCGGUAAUACGGAGGGUGCAAGCGUUAAUCGGAAUUACUGGGCGUAAAGCGCACGUAGGCUGCUUUGUAAGUCAGGGGUGAAAUCCCACGGCUCAACCGUGGAACUGCCUUUGAUACUGCUUAGCUUGAAUCCGGGAGAGGGUGGCGGAAUUCCAGGUGUAGGAGUGAAAUCCGUAGAUAUCUGGAGGAACAUCAGUGGCGAAGGCGGCCACCUGGACCGGUAUUGACGCUGAGGUGCGAAAGCGUGGGUAGCAAACAGG
rnacentral:rRNA from 1 species